rnacentral:rRNA from 1 species
GACGAACGCUGGCGGCGUGCUUAACACAUGCAAGUCGAACGGAAAGGCCCUGCUUUUGUGGGGUGCUCGAGUGGCGAACGGGUGAGUAGCACGUGAGUAACCUGCCCUUGACUUUGGGAUAACUUCAGGAAACUGGGGCUAAUACCGGAUAGGAGCUCCUGCUGCAUGGUGGGGGUUGGAAAGUUUCGGCGGUUGGGGAUGGACUCGCGGCUUAUCAGCUUGUUGGUGGGGUAGUGGCUUACCAAGGCUUUGACGGGUAGCCGGCCUGAGAGGGUGACCGGACACAGUGGGACUGAGAUACGGCCCAGACUCCUACGGGAGGCAGCGGUGGGGAAUAUUGCACAAUGGGCGGAAGCCUGAUGCAGCAACGCCGCGUGCGGGAUGACGGCCUUCGGGUUGUAAACCGCUUUCGCCUGUGACGAAGCGUGAGUGACGGUAAUGGGUAAAGAAGCACCGGCUAACUACGUG